rnacentral:rRNA from 1 species
CUAUUAGAUGAGCCUAUGUUAGAUUAGCUAGUUGGUAGGGUAAAGGCCUACCAAGGCGAUGAUCUAUAGCUGGUCUGAGAGGAUGAUCAGCCACACUGGAACUGAGAUACGGUCCAGACUCCUACGGGAGGCAGCAGUGGGGAAUAUUGGACAAUGGGCGCAAGCCUGAUCCAGCUAUGCCGCGUGAGUGAGGAAGGCCUUAGGGUUGUAAAACUCUUUCAGUAGGGAAGAUAAUGACGGUAC